rnacentral:lncRNA from 1 species
UAAAGUGCCCUGGAUUUAAUUUCCAGUACCACUGCCCCCAACCCCCACUGAGAGAGAGAGAGAGAGAGAGAGAGAGAGAGAGAGAGAGAGAAAGAGAGAGAGAGAGACCCUUCAAACUCUUUCAUAACUGGCAUCAAUGCAUUUAUGAGAGUGGAGUCCCCAUGAAGACUCUAUCUCCCAACGUUGCUGCAGUGGGCGUUAAGUUUCCAGCAUAUGCUUUUUUGGAGAAAUGCAUUCAAACCAUAGUACUCUUCAACCUGGCUCUGCAUCUUUUUGGAAUGAACGUCCUCAAAUCAAAUCCAUUCAAUAUCUGUGGCAUUAAUGAUGUGCAAGCUGCAGUGUUAGAUAUCGUGAUAGAGUAACCCAGAAGAUAGCUAUCUUUUGAUAGUUAUCAGUUAUCUUUUGAUAACUGAUUUAAAUUGAAAUGAAAAGAAUUCAUAAGUGAAGAGUUAAAAAGAAAUGAAUUAUUCAAAAUAAUAAUAGAUGUAUUCCUUAUUUCUGUGUCUGAGUGUGCUUUCUUAUUUAUCAUUUUUCUUAGUCUGUCUUCAGGGACUGAAUUCCGUCUUGUGUUGGUGACUGACCAGCUUCUUGGUUGAUCCCCCAUCUCUACAGGCAACUGCCUCCAUUCAGAGGCCACCUCUCUACUCCAUUAACCUCAGACAGAAGAUGGAAAGAAACGGGUGUACAUUUCCUGCUUCUCUUAGAUCCCUCAGAUUUGGGCACUGACUCUCCUGCAUCUGAGAUUAGACAUCGUGGUGGCAGGGCAGGAGGUCUCAGCAGGGAAGUUCUCCACAUCACAUGCAUCCCAUAUCCACAUUCAGGGCACAGACUGUGUGGCUCAGGUAGAGGGCUGGCCAUUUAGGCUUUGCAAACUUGCCUCAUUUUUAUCUCUAUUUCUGGCUUGCUCAGUAGUCUUGUUGAGAAAAAUUCCCCCAUCUUCCAGAAACAAGACUGGGUACUGGAAAAGAAGGGGGUGAACGAGACAUUUAGCAAGUACCUAGGCUCAGUAUAGCAAUAGUUAGUCAUUCAAGGUUAAAAUCCUGGGGCUGGAAUUGUGGUUCAGCGGUAGAGCGCUCCCCUAGGAUGGGCGGGUUCAAUUCUCAGCACCACAUAAAGAUAAAGGCAUUGUGUCCAUCUACAAAAAA